AUCAUCCCCAAGGAAAAUCCAAAGUUGGGGAGUCAGGAAGAGAACCCCUGCAACGGCGGCAGCUCCUCCAUCAAUGCCGGUGCUUCCUGGCGCUGGGACGGCGGCGCCGGAGAUCCGGGAUUUUUCCCCUGCGGCGAGUGUGGAAGGGUGUUUGAGAAGAUCCAGGGGAGAAACGCCCACAUGAGAUUCCAUCGCCCCAAAGCUGAUGUUUAAAAGGGCCCCGGGAGCUCUUCGAAAGGGUGGCGAAGCCACAAAAGCCCCCGCAUUCCGCUGACCUCCUCCCAUAACACCUGGGAACUGACACCAAACCAACCCCGAGGCCAGUUUUUACCAUUUUUCUUAAAACCCCCCAGCUUUUUCUCCGCAUCCGGGCAGCGGCUGGGCUUUGAGGAUUCAAGAAGACGCGGUCGCCCCCGCUCUAAACAGAGAGGGAAUGGGGGAAAUGGCCCCAAAAGGGUCACCCUAUUUAACAACGUGUUUCCCUGCUGGUGGUGCGCAGCGUUUAAGAUCUGGACUGCAGCGCCCUUUUGGUAGAGAUAAGGUUAGUUUUCGUGUGUGGAUUUUCGUUUACUUCUUAAAUUUGGUUGGUGAGUUUUCAAGUUCUUGUCCCGCUCCAGCUUUUUGCGCGAUCAUUAAAGGCUUUAAAACUCGUUGCGCUGGUUCUGGGGCAGCAGAAUCGGGGUGGUUAAAGGUGUUGGGUGGCCGUGAGGCGUCUCGGUCCUAUUUCAAGCACCCGUUGUGUGUUUAUUUUAUUAAUUGGUGCUCAUUUGCAUAAAUUAACGUGGCGUUUGGGAGGGAACGUGGAGAGUUUGAUUAGUUGAAGGGAGGAAAUGGAAAGAAAGGCGUCUUGUCUCUACCGACGGUAUAAAAAAGGCUGAUUUUUUGUUUUGUUUUGUUUCCGGGCCACCACAUUUUCAUGGCUUUGUUUAAUUUUUGCUGAAUCUUCAUGUCCAGUAGAGGGGAAAAAAUAAAAGUCUGUAUUUUG